AAAGAUCAAACUGACUUCUUUCUCUACGGCAACCUCAUUUUAGGGCAAUUGAUCCAAGGAGAGAAGAAAAAUCGAUUGAGAGGGUAGAGAGGGAUGAGAGAUGGACAGAAAUGAAGAGGAGAAGAGGGUUUCAGGUUGAUUGUCAUAGAUUUUGCAAGUUAGGACUUGAGAUUUUGAUGGAGAGCAAGAGAGUAUGCCGAGAGAGAGUUUGCUCUAGGGUUUAAGAUGGAGAUCCAAGAUUUUGGGUGGUUAAUGGGAUGGAUUUGUGGGAAUGUGGCUGGUGAAGAGCUUGGAGAAGGGUUUCGGUAUGGGAUAAGAAGCAG
rnacentral:lncRNA from 1 species